rnacentral:rRNA from 1 species
UACGUAGGGGGCUAGCGUUGUCCGGAAUCAUUGGGCGUAAAGCGCGUGUAGGCGGUCCGGUAAGUCCGCUGUGAAAGUCGAGGGCUCAACCCUCGAAUGCCGGUGGAUACUGUCGGGCUUGAGUACGGGAGAGGCGAGUGGAAUUCCUGGUGUAGCGGUGAAAUGCGCAGAUAUCAGGAGGAACACCGAUUGCGAAGGCAGCUCGCUGGAACGUUACUGACGCUGAGACGCGAAGCGUGGGGAGCAAACAGG